AUUGAACGCUGGCGGCAUGCCUUACACAUGCAAGUCGAACGGUAACGGGCCUUCGGGUGCCGACGAGUGGCGAACGGGUGAGUAAUGUAUCGGAACGUACCUUUCAGUGGGGGAUAACGUAGCGAAAGUUACGCUAAUACCGCAUAUUCUGUGUGCAGGAAAGCAGGGGAUCGCAAGACCUUGCGCUGAUUGAGCGGCCGAUAUCAGAUUAGCUAGUUGGUGAGGUAAAGGCUCACCAAGGCGACGAUCUGUAGCGGGUCUGAGAGGAUGAUCCGCCACACUGGAACUGAGACACGGUCCAGACGCCUACGGGAGGCAGCAGUGGGGAAUUUUGGACAAUGGGGGCAACCCUGAUCCAGCCAUGCCGCGUGAGUGAAGAAGGCCUUCGGGUUGUAAAGCUCUUUCGGCCGGGAAGAAAUCGUAUCAGCUAAUACCUGAUGCGGAUGACGGUACCGGCAUAAGAAGCACCGGCUAACUACGUGCCAGCCGCCGCAGUAAUAC
rnacentral:rRNA from 1 species